CACUCAUUAAAAGUAAGCAAUUGUUAGGAGUACUACUAGUAAUGAUACUGUGAACCCAACAAAAGUUUUUAAGCAAACUUACUGACUUCUUAAUCCCCUAGGCUUUCUCUUUUGUUUUGGUUGUUGCUUUUGAGGUUUUAUUUUUUGUACAAUAUUUAGCAAAAAACUGGAACUGUGAACAAAGCUAUUAUUUAAUUUUUCAAUCUUAUUAUUUCAGCUUUAUGUAGGAAAGGGUUUAGUGCCAAAGACUGUAUUCAUUCAUCAUCACGUCUUUUGGCCAUCAUCGUAUGCAGUAUGAUCAGAUCAAGCUGGGCGUAUCUAAGUGAAAAGGGACCCGGGCCACCUUCUACUUACAAUAUUCCCAUGGGUUUCCUCUGGAAAACCAGGUUAUAAAAUAUGAUGAGAUCGUGAACUUCAAAACAAUAUUCCCAAAGAUAUUCAGAAAAUAAAUAUGGACUAAAAUGUGAUUCUGUAUUUCUC
rnacentral:lncRNA from 13 species